UGUUGAAUGCUUGAUCCACAGCUGCUGCUAUUUUGAGAGGUCCUGAGAAUUUUAGAAGGAGCCCAAGUUGGAGGAAAUGGGUCCUAGAGGGCAUGCCCGUGAAGGUUAUAAUGAUCUCCAGUCCCUUCCUCACUCUCUGCUUCCUGUCUGCCAUGAGGUGACCAGCCUCUUCGUCCACAUGUUUCUGCCACCAAGAUGUUGAGCCUCACCAUGGACUCUGAACCAAUGGUGCCUAGGACUACAGACUGAAACCGUGUGUUCCACCAGAACAAAAGGAGAAGGAUUUGGCAAUAAUUGUCUCAGCAUGAGAGAGGGAUAUUAAACCUGCUAUAAAUAUAAAUGCAUAUGAAGGGUCUUCAUGAUGGUAAGAGGACCGUGGACAAAAGUGUGAAACAUCAAGGGGCCUGACUUUGCUUCAAAAGGAAAUGUAUUCAGUGUCCUCAUUUGAAAUCCC